rnacentral:piRNA from 1 species
UCCUUUUCCAGGUUCCAGGUCACAGGCUC